rnacentral:rRNA from 1 species
AAGAUGACGAGUGGCGGACGGGUGAGUAAUGCUUGGGAACUUGCCUUUGCGAGGGGGAUAACAGUUGGAAACGACUGCUAAUACCGCAUAAUGUCUUCGGACCAAACGGGGCUUAGGCUCCGGCGCAAAGAGAGGCCCAAGUGAGAUUAGCUAGUUGGUAGGGUAACGGCUUACCAAGGCGACGAUCUCUAGCUGUUCUGAGAGGAAGAUCAGCCACACUGGGACUGAAACACGGCCCAGACUCCUACGGGAGGCAGCAGUGGGGAAUAUUGCACAAUGGGGGAAACCCUGAUGCAGCCAUGCCGCGUGUGUGAAGAAGGCCUUCGGGUUGUAAAGCACUUUCAGUUGUGAGGAAAAGUUAGUAGUUAAUACCUGCUAGCCGUGACGUUAACAACAGAAGAAGCACCGGCUAACUCCGUGCCAGCAGCCGCGGUAAUACGGAGGGUGCGAGCGUUAAUCGGAAUUACUGGGCGUAAAGCGCACGCAGGCGGUUUGUUAAGC